rnacentral:rRNA from 1 species
UUGGAGGGCAAGUCUGGUGCCAGCAGCCGCGGUAAUUCCAGCUCCAACGGCGUAUAUUAAAGUUGCUGCAGUUAAAAAGCUCGUAGUUGAAUUCCGGGAUCAAUAUUUCGGUCAUGCCGUUGGUAUGCACUGUUAUCAUUGAUUUCUCACCUUCUAAAGAACCGUAACACCAUUAAUUUGGUGUUACGGGGAAUUAGGACUGUUACCUUGAAAAAAUUAGGGUGUUUAAAGCAGGCUCACGCUUGAAUACAUUAGCAUGGAAUAAUGAAAUAGGACAUCCGAUUCUAUUUUGUUGGUUUCUAGGAUCGAUGUAAUGAUUAAUAGGGAUAGUUGGGGGCAUUAGUAUUCAAUUGUCAGAGGUGAAAUUCUUGGAUUUAUUGAAGACUAACUACUGCGAAAGCAUUUGCCAAGGAUGUUUUCAUUAAUCAAGAACGAAAGUUAGGGGAUCGAAGACGAUCAGAUACCGUCGUAGUCUUAACCAUAAACUAUGCCGACUAGGGAUCGGAUGAUGUUAAUUUUUUAAUGACUCAUUCGGCGCCUUACGGGAAAC